GACAGAGGGGGCAAGCGUUGCUCGGAAUCACUGGGCGUAAAGGGCGCGUAGGCGGGAUGGCAAGUCGGUCGUGAAAUCCUUCGGCUCAACCGAAGAACGUCGGCCGAUACUGCCGUUCUUGAGGGAUGCAGAGGAGAUUGGAAUUCCCGGUGUAGCGGUGAAAUGUGUAGAGAUCGGGAGGAACACCGGUGGCGAAGGCGGGUCUCUGGGCAUUUCCUGACGCUGAGGCGACGGAAAGCGUGGGGAGCAAACGGG
rnacentral:rRNA from 1 species